UUUCCGUAGGUGAACCUGCGGAGGGAUCAUUACCAGAGAUGGUGGGCCUCGCGUCCCCGUCCCCCAACCCUUUGUUGACCCAAAACCUUUUUGCCUCGGGGGCAGAGCGGCCUCCGCCGCCCCCGGUGGACCAUUUAACCCUGUCUCUGUACGUCGGAGUCUUUGAUGAAUAAAUGAAAACUUUUAACAACGGAUCUCUUGGUUCUGGCAUCGAUGAAGAACGCAGC
rnacentral:misc_RNA from 1 species